rnacentral:tRNA from 1 species
GGCAAGUUAGCUCAGCUGGUUAGAGCGCCGUCUAAUAACACGGGAGGUCAUGAGUUCCGAUCCUCGUACGGGCCA